GGUAGCUCAGUGGAAGAGUGCUUGCCUUGCAUGCAUGAAGCCCUGGGUUCGAUUCCUCAGUACCA
rnacentral:tRNA from 1 species